AUGAACGCUAGCGGCAGGCUUAACACAUGCAAGUCGAGGGGCAGCACAAGUAGCAAUACUGGGUGGCGACCGGCGCAAGGGUGCGUAACGCGUGAGCAACAUGCCCGUAUCAGGGGGAUAAUCCAUGGAAACGUGGUCUAAUACCCCAUAGUAAGUUUUUGAGGCAUCUCAAGGAUUUUAAAGCUUUGGUGGAUACGGAUUGGCUCGCGUGACAUUAGCUGGAUGGUAGGGUAACGGCUUACCAUGGCUACGAUGUCUAGGGGUUCUGAGAGGAAGGUCCCCCACACUGGAACUGAGACACGGUCCAGACUCCUACGGGAGGCAGCAGUGAGGAAUAUUGGACAAUGGAUGGAAAUCUGAUCCAGCCAUGCCGCGUGCAGGAAGACGGCCCUAUGGGUUGUAAACUGCUUUUGUAUGGGAGCAAUAAGAUCUACGUGUAGAUUGAUGAGAGUACCAUACGAAUAAGCACCGGCUAACUCCGUG
rnacentral:rRNA from 1 species